AGGUGAGUACCUUAACUGGCCAAAGGACCGGGUUGUGGCCCCGGGCAUUCGGGUUCGAUUCCCGACCACCUG
rfam:Parcubacteria group bacterium RIFCSPLOWO2_01_FTLL_48_18 rifcsplowo2_01_scaffold_998, whole genome shotgun sequence.